rnacentral:rRNA from 1 species
UGAGGAAUAUUGGACAAUGGGCGCAAGCCUGAUCCAGCCAUGCCGCGUGCAGGAUGACGGUCCUAUGGAUUGUAAACUGCUUUUGUACAGGAAGAAACAGUUCUACGUGUAGAACCUUGACGGUACUGUAAGAAUAAGGAUCGGCUAACUCCGUGCCAGCAGCCGCGGUAAUACGGAGGAUCCAAGCGUUAUCCGGAAUCAUUGGGUUUAAAGGGUCCGUAGGCGGUUAGAUAAGUCAGUGGUGAAAGCCCAUCGCUCAACGGUGGAACGGCCAUUGAUACUGUCUGACUUGAAUUAUUAGGAAGUAACUAGAAUAUGUAGUGUAGCGGUGAAAUGCUUAGAGAUUACAUGGAAUACCAAUUGCGAAGGCAGGUUACUACUAAUGGAUUGACGCUGAUGGACGAAAGCGUGGGUAGCGAACAGGAUUAGAUACCCAAGUAGUCCCUGAGCGGGCUGGCAAGGCGCAU